UACGUAGGGGGCUAGCGUUGUCCGGAAUCAUUGGGCGUAAAGAGCGCGUAGGCGGCCAGAUAAGUCCGGUGUAAAAGUCACAGGCUCAACCUGUGAAUGCCGCUGGAAACUGUCUGGCUUGAGUCCGGGAGGGCGAGUGGAAUUCCGUGGUGUAGCGGUGAAAUGCGCAGAUAUCAGGAGGAACACCAAUGGCGAAGGCAGCUCGCUGGAACGGUACUGACGCUGAGGCGCGAAAGCGUGGGGAGCGAACGG
rnacentral:rRNA from 1 species